rnacentral:lncRNA from 1 species
GAGCGUAAGGGUGGCAAGGCGCCCGAGAGUCAGGGCUGGAGCUGAAGGUGGGUGACAGGGAGGGGGCGCCCAGGUGUCAGGACCUGAGGAGAAAGAGUGCGCGUAGCGGGAGGGCCCCGAAGUGUCGGGGCGGGAUCCUGGAAGGAGGGAGAACGUGAGGAGGGAGGAAGGGUCCCUGGGGUGUCAGGGAUGGGGGCCAGGAAAGGGGCAGAGAGCUGGAGGCCCACAAGUGGGGAUAGCGGGGGAGGGAGGUUGGAGCGAGUGGGGAACGCAGGUGGUGUCGAGGGCGGGGACAGGGCGAGGGGAGCGGGGCGUGAGGAAGUUGUGGGAAACCGCGCUGGACGCUGAGAAUGUGCGGAAGGAUCCUGAGGGGAGGACGCGAGACAGCGCGAGGAGAGACGAGGAGAGUUAGGGUUGGCCGGGAGGGUGCGAAGAUGAAGCGACCACUGGAGGCUGUGAGGGUGAAAGGAGCAAGAAUCGUCUAGAGACGGGCUGGGCCGGUGCUGGGGCCAAAGGCUUCUGUCUGUCAGGCCCUUUUUGGCGCUCACUCUAGAAAGAAGAGGCGGAGACGCGAAGAGAUCGGGUUAGAGUCAGAUUUUCGAAGCACGGAGAUGGGUUCAAUGAAAGGACGAGGAAAGACGAGAAACCAGCGGCCGGAGAACGGAGAGUUCAACAAUUUUUAUGAAUUUCUAAUCCAACCUCAUCAUCCUAUGGGAAACAGAAGACCACCAAGAACAGCCAGCUGAGACAGAAUUUCACUGUGUUGCCCAAGCCAAUCUUAAACUCCUGGUCUCAAGCGAUCCUCCUGCCUUGGCCUCCCACUGUGCCUGGCCUAUGGACUCUGAAUUUUUUUAAAAGACUGGAAAAAACUUUUAUAAGAGAAUUGGAAAUUUGGACAGUAUCUUGGCAGUAACCUCCUCCAUAUAUUUCCUUGGCCCUCAGCUUACAUCUAGCAAAAUGACUCUACUGGUUCCAGGCUUCACAUGCAUACAACAUGGUGUUGGAGGAACAGAGAUGUUUUCUCUUCCUGGUGUUUUCCCAGACAUUUCUUAGCUGGCAUUUCAAACAAGGGUCCUGAAAUUCACCCUGGUUGGGUCGUGUUCUCCCCUUCCCAUUCCCCAUCCCCACCCUCAACCGAAAAAUGAUGUAAGCAGGGGAAAUUGAAUGUACCAAUGUUUGUUUUUAAACAAGCCACAGACCCCUCCCCAACUCCCCGACUGAAGCUUGAAGUGGGAUCAGCUUUCCCUAAAGUACUUGAGCUUAUGGUAAAGCAUAUAUGUUAUCCAAGUUAAAGUCUGGACGCUGUUAGUAAUGGGAAGGCAAGUAAUGAAUGUUAGCUAUGGAGCCAACAGACAGUGUCCACUCCAUUGUCUUUAAGGCCCAACUAAAGAUAACCUCUUUACCAAUGUCGGUUUAUUUAUUCAUUUAUUUAUUCAUUGAGAUGGAGUCUCACUCUCUCACCCAAGCUGGAGUGCAGUGGAAUGAUCUCAGCUGACUGCAAUUUCUGCCUCCCAGGUUCAAGCAAUCUCCUGCUUCAGCCUCCCAAGUAGCUGGGAUUACAGGCGCACACCACCAUGCCCGGCUAAUUUUUGUAUUUUUAGUAGAGAUAGGGUUUCACCAUGUUGGCCAAGCUGGUCUCGGACACCUGACCUCAAGUGAUCUGCCUGCCUCGGCCCCCAAAGGUGUGAGCCACUGCACCUGGCUACAAUGUCAGUUUCUAUAAAAACUGCCUUGACUUGUUUUGUUUGCUUGUUUUGUUUGUUUGUGUUUUAAUUUUUAUUAUUUUUUUUUAGAGACAGGGUCUCAAUCUGUUGUCUAGGCUUGAGUGCAGUGGUGCAAUCAUAGCUCACUGAAGUGUUGGACUCCCAGGCUCAAGCAGUCCUCCCACCUCAGCCUCCCAAGUAGCUGAGACUACAGGCAUGCACCACCCUGUCUGGCUAAUUUUUUAUUUUUAGUAGAGAUGAGGUCUCACUAUGUUGCCCAAGGUGGCCUCAAACUCCUGGCCUCAAGUACUCCUGUGGCCUUAGCCUCCCAAAGCUCUGGGAUUGCAGGUAUGAGCCGCCAUGCCUGGCCUACUGUAUAUUUUAUGCAUUUGAUAUAAGUCUUGCCUCCCUAAGUAUAUUACAAGUCCCUUGAAGUUAAAGACAUUAGAUUCCUACUCAGUGCUGAGCUGCAACAGAGAGCACUCAAUGAUGGAUAAAAUAGUUUUAGCAUGCAUUCAGCGAUAUAUAUUUAGAAAGUGGAACUAGGUGGUUGAAAAAAGUGUAUAGAUGGGUGGAAGGGAAUAUUACAGCUCUUAGAAUUGUCCUAAGGUGAGAGUAACAAAUUAAGCAAUGAGUCCCUGGGUUCACUCAAGCAACUUCACUCUCUAAAACAAGAGCCCACAGAAUCCCAUUUCUGCUUUCAGAAUGAGUUUGAGGCCAAUAUUAUUUCCAUUUUUUUUCUUUUUCUUUCUUUCUUUUUUUUUUUUUUUUUUUUGAGACGGAGUUUCACUCUUGUUGCCCAGGCUGUUUUGAUCUCGGCUCACUGCAACCUCUGCCCCUGGGUUCAAGCGAUUCUCCUGUCUCAACCUCCCAAGCUGGGAUUACAAGCAUGCGCUACCACACCUGGCUAAUUUUGUAUUUUUAAUAGAGACGGGGUUUCUCUGUGUUGGUCAGGCUGGUCUCAAACUCCCAACCUCAGGUGAUCUGCCCACCUUGGCCCAGCCUCCAAUAUGAUUUUCUAAUAGCUGUGUUUGAUGAUUAUAUUUAUUCCUCCAUCAGUAGCUUUUUUAGCCUUGAAAAUAUCUAUUUAAGUUUCUUAUUUCCUUUGGAUCUAUCAAAGUGUUUUUCCCCAAGUGGCACCUGGGAAAACAUAUUCUAUUCAUUUAUUUUAUAACUGUUCCCUUGACCUCUUUAUUGCUUCCCUAUUACAACCCAAGAUGCUCUUGUAAACCUGACUUAAUAUUGGCAGUCUUCAUCCCUUGCAAAUGGAAGUGAUGACAGACCCAAUACUUUGUGUAAAAAUAUUUUGCUAUUUCUAUACAAAAUAUUUUAUUAAUGGAAACCACAUGUUAUGUAUUUUACAUAUGUUAUGACUUGAAAUUUAUGUUAUGACUUGAAAUUGGGGAAUCUGAUAUGUCUCUAAUAAUAAAGGCUUCACAGUA